UCGCAGAUCAGAAUGCUGCGGUGAAUGCGUUCCCGGGUCUUGUACACACCGCCCGUCACACCACGGGAGUUGGAGACGCCCGAAGCCGAUUAUCUAACCUUUUGGAAGAAGUCGUCGAAGGUGGAAUCAAUAACUGGGGUGAAGUCGUAACAAGGUAGCCGUAUCGGAAGGUGCGGCUGGAUCACCUCCUUUCUAAGGAGA
rnacentral:rRNA from 1 species